UACGAAGGGGGCGAGCGUUUGUUCGGAUUUACUGGGCGUAAAGGGCGCGUAGGCGGGCGCGAGAAGUCAGGCGUGAAAGCCCCGGGCUCAACCUGGGAAUGGCGCUUGGGACUCUCGUGCUUGAGUUCGGGAGAGGAGAGUGGAAUUCCCAGUGUAGAGGUGAAAUUCGUAGAUAUUGGGAAGAACACCGGUGGCGAAGGCGGCUCUCUGGACCGAGACUGACGCUGAGGCGCGAAAGCGUGGGGAGCAAACAGGG
rnacentral:rRNA from 1 species